GCAUAUCAAUAAGCGGAGGAAAAGAAACUAACAAGGAUUCCCCUAGUAGCGGCGAGCGAAGCGGGAAGAGCUCAAAUUUGUAAUCUGGCGCUUUCAGCGUCCGAGUUGUAAUCUCUAGAAAUGUUUUCCGCGUUGCACCGCACACAAGUCUGUUGGAAUACAGCGGCACAGUGGUGAGACCCCCGUUCAUGGUGCGGAUGCGCAAUGCUUUGUGAUACAUUUUCGAAGAGUCGAGUUGUUUGGGAAUGCAGCUCAAAUUGGGUGGUAAAUUCCAUCUAAAGCUAAAUAUUGGCGAGAGACCGAUAGCGAACAAGUACCGUGAGGGAAAGAUGAAAAGCACUUUGGAAAGAGAGUUAACAGUACGUGAAAUUGUUGGAAGGGAAACGCUUGAAGUCAGACUUGCUGUUCGGAGUUCAGCCGCAAGGUGUACUCUCCGAGUUGCAGGCCAGCAUCAGUUUUUCGGGGUGGAAAAUCACGGUUUGAAGGUAGCAGUUUCGGCUGUGUUAUAGCUUUCCGUUGGAUACAUCCUGGGGGACUGAGGAACGCAGUGUGCUUUUAGCAGGGGUUUCGACCUCUUCACACUUAGGAUGCUGUGAGCUGCGGUU
rnacentral:rRNA from 1 species